UAACUUAACUGGUAGAGCAUGGCAUUAACACUGCCAAUGUUAGGGGUUAGAUUCCCACUAGGGGCCA